rnacentral:lncRNA from 1 species
AGAGCCUAGCUACUCAGCAACUUCCUCUGCACCGGUCCUUGCCAUCUUCAGUCCCUCGAUUCUUCUCUAAGGGGUUUCCACGUCAUGUCCUCCACCCCGGAGGCCAUCCUCGAAGUGAUGUCCAGGGCUUGGAGGAAGGCGAGGAGGAGAACAGCGGCCGGUGAGUUCUCCAGUCAUCAAGUGGCCACUGAGGAUCCCCGUCGUUUUAAAGGGG